UGAGGGGGGACAUCUCCCGCUGAGGGGAAAACCGCCUCCCGCUGAGGGGAACAUCGCCCCCCGCUGAGGGGGGACAGGACGCUAGCUACAUGGCGGGCCCGUCCUCCCACCACCGGCCUGUAGGGGGUGGUGAUCGCUGCCCAGCUCCAUCCUGUUCCCAGGGCAGCCCAGCAAGGUGGGUAGAGCUAAGCCCGGGGGGAAAGGGUGGGGUGGGUGGGAGACAAAGGCGUGCCCUGGAACCGCACACAGGAAGUGCUCAGCCUCCUCCCCCCUGGCCUUGACGCUGGGUGGCCUUCCCAGGACUGUGCUUUCCCAGAAUGGCUGGCUUUUCUCAGAACACAGCCUGCUGACUCCUUGCAGCACAAGCCCUGCCUGACAACAGCUGCUCAGGUGCCAGGGUCUUUAGAGGACAGGCCCCAUUGGGAGACAGAACCGCAGCACUCCCUCCCCCCUCACUUUUCCCCAAGUUUCUCACCCAGUACCGCUUCCACCAGGUCCCAGUCAACACCACAUGGGAGGGGAACUGGGACCCAGGCCUGAGACCACCCUGGGCACCAGUGCUGUACGUUCUGGGUGACACCGAUGACCACAAGGGUGACCUUCCACAGGCUGGCCCUGGACCUCCUUGCCAGUCACCACUCUGAAUCCGGAAUUGUUCCAUUCAACAGGGCACCCUCCCUAUCUGUAAAAACCUCUUUUUGCCUGCACACUGCGUGUCUGCAGUUCCCUCAAGGAGAACUGCUUGGCUCCUGUCCGCUCAAUGCUGACGGAAAGACAGUAGAUUGAGCGCCCUCUUAACCUGGGUCCCUGCUUCCUCAGCACUCCUGGGUGAUGAGUGGGUGAAACCGGAGCCAUCUCGUUCAUGGCCCACUCUCCACAGAACUCGGGAUCCAAAUCAGUGCCUCUGGAACUGUGCUUCUGGAACAUUCCACAUCAGCAUCACCCAGGGAACUUUUAACAUGCAAAUUCCAUGCCCUCAUCCUCAAUCUUCUCUUGGGAUGAGGCAGCCUUGUGGCUUUUCUGUGUCUCUGCCGUGUUCUCCCAGGAGCCAACCUUUCCAUGUCCCCUACGGAGCCACGCUGAUGGCCACAGUUGAUAUGGGUCACCCCUAUGGUUGGAAUCACUUAGUGACCUUUUCUAGGGUUGCUAUGCAGCGUCCUGCUCCACGGUGCUCCCUGGAGCUGGGGCUGUGGGCUGCAGUCCCAGUGAGCACCGACAGUGCCUGCUGUGUAUCAAGGCAAGCACACCUAUGACCAGUCCAUGACCUGAGAGCUGUAAGCCAUCUGAGGCUCUGUCAGGAUCCCUUUUAAGAACAAGGAGGGGGAAAUUUGUAUUUUAAAAGCUUA